rnacentral:rRNA from 1 species
UACGUAGGGAGCAAGCGUUGUCCGGAUUUAUUGGGCGUAAAGAGCUCGUAGGCGGCUUAGAAAGUCAGAUGUGAAAACUCCAGGCUCAACCUGGAGACGCCAUUUGAUACUUCUAUGGCUUGAGUUCGGUAGGGGACCAUGGAAUUCCUGGUGUAGCGGUGAAAUGCGCAGAUAUCAGGAGGAACACCGAUGGCGAAGGCAGUGGUCUGGGCCGAUACUGACGCUGGAGGAGCGAAAGCGUGGGGAGCGAACAGG